GGGAACUGAAGAGGUUUUCAGAUUUCGCUCUUAAGUGUUUUACUCAGUUGAAUUGUAUUAAAUGCGUCAUUCGCUCUCUCAAAAAGUCACUUAAAAAAAAAAAAAUAAUAAUUGACCGCGUAGUUUUUGAGUUAUGGCCAUAGCAACACCAUAGCAACGAGGGACGCGCCGUCCUGCCGACCCCUACCUCGUGACGUAACUUCCAGGAAGCCUCGCCACCACUCUGAACACGGAAAUAUAGCACCACGCUAUCCUCGCCAUAUAUUGCAAACAUUUUCUGGGUUUUACUCGCGGGAUUCGUCAUGCCAUCUCGAUGUGUAGCGAUAUGAAUUACUCACAGGAAGACUCGAGACUCUAGGAGUGGUCCAAAAAAAACUUCUCCUGCAAAGCCACGACAGCUUUGAAAACCUACAACAAUGCAACCUUGGUUUUCCAAAGACGAAGCCAAACAUAAAAAAUUAAGUGGCGGAAACCCUCAACACGAUGAAAAAAGCGUUGCAAGUCAGUUGCCACCCAGUUUCCCAAAAUCAAGAGAGAGUGGGUCGAGUCAUAUGAUGACCGAAGUGAUGCGGUGUCCAGCGAUGACGACUGAAGAGAUCCUAUGAGGCCUGCCAGAUGCUGAAUUUCUUCCGUCUGCGACAUCAGAUGACGAUGAUUUAGGAGAAAUAAAUGUAGCAAAUUUUGAUGACAUGAAAUCAUAAACUAGUCAUAUAUACAGUACACAUUUUUUAAAAGAAAAAUCAAGUUACCUUCAUAUUUUAAUGAUAAUGCAUUAUCUUUGUAUAGAGAACACUUCAUGCUACAGAAAAGAGUAAAUACAUAUUUCCCACUGCCAUUAUCAUUUUUCAAUGUUGCGCUAGUCCGUUGCUAUCCUAACUUUGUGUUGCUUACUAAAAUUAUGCUCUUUGAUG